rnacentral:rRNA from 1 species
GUGGGGAAUAUUGCACAAUGGGGGAAACCCUGAUGCAGCGACGCCGCGUGGAGGAAGAAGGUCUUCGGAUUGUAAACUCCUGUUGUUGAGGAAGAUAAUGACGGUACUCAACAAGGAAGUGACGGCUAACUACGUGCCAGCAGCCGCGGUAAAACGUAGGUCACAAGCGUUGUCCGGAAUUACUGGGUGUAAAGGGAGCGCAGGCGGGAGAACAAGUUGGAAGUGAAAUCCAUGGGCUCAACCCAUGAACUGCUUUCAAAACUGUUUUUCUUGAGUAGUGCAGAGGUAGGCGGAAUUCCCGGUGUAGCGGUGGAAUGCGUAGAUAUCGGGAGGAACACCAGUGGCGAAGGCGGCCUACUGGGCACCAACUGACGCUGAGGCUCGAAAGUGUGGGUAGCAAACAGGAUUAGAAACCCGAGUAGUCC